rnacentral:rRNA from 1 species
AGAGUUUGAUCAUGGCUCAGAUUGAACGCUGGCGGCAGGCCUAACACAUGCAAGUCGAGCGGUAGCACAGAGAGCUUGCUCUCGGGUGACGAGCGGCGGACGGGUGAGUAAUGUCUGGGAAACUGCCUGAUGGAGGGGGAUAACUACUGGAAACGGUAGCUAAUACCGCAUAAUGUCGCAAGACCAAAGUGGGGGACCUUCGGGCCUCAUGCCAUCAGAUGUGCCCAGAUGGGAUUAGCUAGUAGGUGGGGUAAUGGCUCACCUAGGCGACGAUCCCUAGCUGGUCUGAGAGGAUGACCAGCCACACUGGAACUGAGACACGGUCCAGACUCCUACGGGAGGCAGCAGUGGGGAAUAUUGCACAAUGGGCGCAAGCCUGAUGCAGCCAUGCCGCGUGUGUGAAGAAGGCCUUCGGGUUGUAAAGCACUUUCAGCGGGGAGGAAGGCGUUAAGGUUAAUAACCUUGGCGAUUGACGUUACCCGCAGAAGAAGCACCGGCUAACUCCGUGCCAGCAGCCGCGGUAAUACGGAGGGUGCAAGCGUUAAUCGGAAUUACUGGGCGUAAAGCGCACGCAGGCGGUCUGUCAAGUCGGAUGUGAAAUCCCCGGGCUCAACCUGGGAACUGCAUUCGAAACUGGCAGGCUAGAGUCUUGUAGAGGGGGGUAGAAUUCCAGGUGUAGCGGUGAAAUGCGUAGAGAUCUGGAGGAAUACCGGUGGCGAAGGCGGCCCCCUGGACAAAGACUGACGCUCAGGUGCGAAAGCGUGGGGAGCAAACAGGAUUAGAUACCCUGGUAGUCCACGCCGUAAACGAUGUCGAUUUGGAGGUUGUGCCCUUGAGGCGUGGCUUCCGGAGCUAACGCGUUAAAUCGACCGCCUGGGGAGUACGGCCGCAAGGUUAAAACUCAAAUGAAUUGACGGGGGCCCGCACAAGCGGUGGAGCAUGUGGUUUAAUUCGAUGCAACGCGAAGAACCUUACCUGGUCUUGACAUCCACAGAACUUAGCAGAGAUGCUUUGGUGCCUUCGGGAACUGUGAGACAGGUGCUGCAUGGCUGUCGUCAGCUCGUGUUGUGAAAUGUUGGGUUAAGUCCCGCAACGAGCGCAACCCUUAUCCUUUGUUGCCAGCGGUCCGGCCGGGAACUCAAAGGAGACUGCCAGUGAUAAACUGGAGGAAGGUGGGGAUGACGUCAAGUCAUCAUGGCCCUUACGACCAGGGCUACACACGUGCUACAAUGGCAUAUACAAAGAGAAGCGACCUCGCGAGAGCAAGCGGACCUCAUAAAGUAUGUCGUAGUCCGGAUUGGAGUCUGCAACUCGACUCCAUGAAGUCGGAAUCGCUAGUAAUCGUAGAUCAGAAUGCUACGGUGAAUACGUUCCCGGGCCUUGUACACACCGCCCGUCACACCAUGGGAGUGGGUUGCAAAAGAAGUAGGUAGCUUAACCUUCGGGAGGGCGCUUACCACUUUGUGAUUCAUGACUGGGGUGAAGUCGUAACAAGGUAACCGUAGGGGAACCUGCGGUUGGAUCACCU